rnacentral:rRNA from 1 species
ACGAUCGGUAGCCGGACUGAGAGGUUGAACGGCCACAUUGGGACUGAGACACGGCCCAGACUCCUACGGGAGGCAGCAGUGGGGAAUAUUGCACAAUGGGGGAAACCCUGAUGCAGCGACGCCGCGUGGAGGAAGAAGGUCUUCGGAUUGUAAACUCCUGUUGUUGAGGAAGAAAAGGACGGUACUCAACAAGGAAGUGACGGCUAACUACGUGCCAGCAGCCGCGGUAAAACGUAGGUCACGAGCGUUGUCCGGAAUUACUGGGUGUAAAGGGAGCGCAGGCGGGUAGACAAGUUGGGAGUGAAAUGCAUGGGCUCAACCCAUGAACUGCUCUCAAAACUGUAGAUCUUGAGUAGUGCAGAGGUAGGCGGAAUUCCCGGUGUAGCGGUGGAAUGCGUAGAUAUCGGGAGGAACACCAGUGGCGAAGGCGGCCUACUGGGCACCAACUGACGCUGAGGCUCGAAAGUGUGGGUAGCAAACAGGAUUAGAUACCCUGGUAGUCCACACCGUAAACGAUGAUUACUAGGUGUUGGAGGAUAGACCCCUUCAGUGCCGCAGUUAACACAAUAAGUAAUCCACCUGGGGAGUACGACCGCAAGGUUGAAACUCAAAGGAAUUGACGGGGGCCCGCACAAGCAGUGGAGUAUGUGGUUUAAUUCGACGCAACGCGAAGAACCUUACCAAGUCUUGACAUCCUCUG